rnacentral:rRNA from 1 species
UACGUAGGUGGCGAGCGUUGUCCGGAUUUAUUGGGCGUAAAGAGCCCGCAGGCGGCUCGGCAAGUUUCAGGUGAAAUCUCCCGGCUUAACCGGGAGGGUGCCUGGAAAACUGCCGGGCUUGAGGCAGGGAGAGGGAUGCGGAAUUCCCGGUGUAGUGGUGAAAUGCGUAGAUAUCGGGAGAAACACCUGUGGCGAAAGCGGCUCACUGGACAGUAACUGACGCUGAUGCACGAAAGCUAGGGGAGCAAACAGG